GUGCUCCUCGCUCGUUUUAUUUUGGAAUCAAAAGUUAAAGAUAAGACGAGCAAGUAGUGGGU
rnacentral:pre_miRNA from 1 species